CCUACGGGUGGCAGCAGUGAGGAAUAUUGGUCAAUGGACGAGAGUCUGAACCAGCCAAGUAGCGUGAAGGAUGACUGCUCUCUGGGUUGUAAACUUCUUCUAUAUGGGAAUAAAAUGUUCCACGUGCGGGAUUUUGUAUGUACCAUAUGAAUAAGGAUCGGCUAACUCCGUGCCAGCAGCCGCGGUAAUACGGGGGAUGCGAGCGUUAUCAGGGUUUAUUGGGUUAAAAGGGUGCGCAGGGGGAGGUGCAAGUCAGUGGUCAAAUUGCGGGGCUAAAGCCCGUACUGCCGUUGAAACUGCAUCCCUUGAGUGCGCGAGAGGUAUGCGGAAUGCGUGGUGUAGCGGUGAAAUGCUUAGAUAUCACGAAGAACACCGAUUGCGAAGGCAGUUCACUGGACUGAAACUGACACUGAGGCUCGAAAGUGUGGGUAUCAAACAGGAUUAGAUACCCUUGUAGUC
rnacentral:rRNA from 1 species